GAGGGUUGAUAGCAAAUGUUGAAAUAUCAACUUUAACUAAGCAUUUGUAUUGUUUUCCAUGUACAUGUCCCUUGUGUUUUCCCAUAUUCCUACCCAAAGCUCCACUUGGAGAGAAAGCCGAUCAGUUAUUGGAUACAACAUUUAGACUAUUUACAAUUAAGUUCUAUUAUUUAAUAAACAAAUAAAAUAACCCUCCAAAUUUUCUUUUCUCCUUUUGUGGAAGCCGGAGAGAAAUGCAUGUUUAUUCCCUCAAAGUGAUGUGUGUCCCAGUGGACCCCAAACAGCUAAUUCUGGGCUCAAGGGCAAAUGACGACAGUCUCUGCAGAUGGCACUUUAAAGACAGCAGUCCCCUACCCAUGUCCCCACAUCAGUGGUACAAAUCCCUCUGUCUUGUGAAAAGAAGUGGCUGAAGCUUCCAGUUCUGGUAAGCAUGAGUUACUCCAGGUCAGUGGGGAGGGGUAGGGAAGAAAGAGGCUGGAUAGAUGCAAAGUGGAGUUAAGGGAGUGGGGAGUUCAGAACAGAAGUUCUGGAAGCAGACACAGGAUUCGUGGGGGUGGCGUGGGCUAUAUAGAAGGUCGGGCUGAGAUCUGAUCUUAGCUCCACCUUCUCUGAUAUCUUCCCCUUUCUGUCCAUCUCGAGACCCAGAGUAUAAUGUGGGGGAUCCUCAAAGGGCACUGUAAGCUCAGGUGAAUCUCUGGAAAGUCUGAUGGAGACCCCCAGGAGUUCCUAGCUGUGGGUCUCAGCUCAGUGGGCUUUGGGAAAAGCUGAAUUUCUACACCAGACUCUGGAGAAAGGCACUUAGCCCAGACAAAACAGGAAGGCAGCUAGCUGCCUGUCACAUUUUUCCCUGGAUUCUUUGGGACACAUACUUGCUCACUGAUGCCCCCAAGGCACUUCCAACUUUCCAGGGAGAGUGACUAACUCAUCUACCUCACCAACUUCCAGACUGGUGGCCAAUGCUAGGCUCAGGAAGAAAGGGAAUGCCCGCACAGACUGACCGUGAAGAGCCUUGUCAAUAGGGGAUGGUUUGAGGUGUGUUGCUGUCCACGUUUGUCCACGUGUUUGGGGAGUCGGGCACUGCUGGGUGCACAGAACCUUAUCGUUAUGAAUUCAAAUACAGGCAUUCUUUAAAUGUGUGACUUCUUCCUAUGCCUAUUCCAGUGGUCCUCAAAGUGUGGUCUCUGUGACAGCAGUACCUGAUAUGUGUUAGAGAUGCAAAUUCUUGAGGCCCACUCCAGAUCCCUGAAUGAGAACUUCCAGAAUGAGGUAAGUGGUAGAGGUAAUUUAACAAGCCCUCCAGGUGAUUUUGAUGCCUGCUCAAGUCUGAGAACCACUGGCCAGCCAGGCCCUGCCAUUUCCCUGCCAUCCUGGAGACGAUGAAUGAGCUUCGCAGUACCGGGCUGAGGUUCAAGGGCAGCGUGCAGCCAAACGCUGCCUGAAUCACACACAUUAGCAUUGGCUAUUCUUGCGUACUGCAAAUGCAGAUUGUAAAACUAGAUCAUGAGUUAAGUGGGCUUUUGAUGGUAAACCUGGAAAACCAACAUUCAUAUAUAUAUCAUUUCUAGAAGAAAACAUAUCUUUAAUAAUAAACAGCUUUCAGCGUGCAACCUAUAACUUCUGGAAUGCAGGCUCUGCCUAUACUGUGAGUUACAGCAACAUAACUAACUGUGUGUAUAUCUGCUUCCCCUGCAGGUUUAUACACUGAAGCCGUCCUUGAGGUGCUUCCUCUCCUCACUGCCCAGCACAUGAACCUGGGCACAAAGUAAUUGACUUCAAGAGUAAGAGCUACAUCUAUAAGCACAGCUGGCUAACCUGGGAGAGGAAGUGCUAUGACACCUGUAAUCAUAACAGCCCAAUCAUACCACACCUGCCUGUGCCUCAGCCUGGCACAUUCUUGGCAAGAGAGGGGCACUCCUGGUCCCAGGCUGCUGCUGAGGAGAGCACCAGCUGCUGACUCUGUGGCAGAGAGUCACUGGCUUGGGUCUCUACCCAGACUUCUCAUUGAUGAGUUUACUUGAGGUGAAGUGAUACAAAGGAGCACAUUACACUUACAUUAUGUGGCCAGGAGACAAGAGAUUUUUAUAAAAGCAUUUGGAGAGGUGGGAAAAAUUGCCAAUACUGUUGUGAACUCAGCCACCUGAAUAAUAACUCUAGCUGACCUUGGGCAGCCAAGACUCAAUUUAGGUACUACCAAAUAAGAUGUUCACUGGCCUCCUCAAUGCAGUCUCUAUCAAUUAACAACUCUGAAGUGGAAGAUUAAAACUGUUGAGAGAGACACAGAACCACUUUCACAGCCAGUAAAGAAAGAAAGCCUGGCUGGAAGAGUUUUUAGGCACUGCUGUUCUCAGCCUGGGGCGGGGCCCAGGGGAUCUGGGACCAAGCAGCCUUCUGUUGCAUCAAUCCCCUCAAUUAGGCACAGAAGUAGACAGCAUCUCUGAGUCAACAAGUGAGCUGACUCCAGGCCCCAGCAGCCCCAAGGUGAGGUUCUGCUUAUCACAACCCUCUUGAAGCCUGCAGAGCCACCCCGAGGCACAUUCCACAAACCCAGAGGGGUGGGGUAGUGGCACCAGUAAGACAACAUCCCUUGUUUGACUUCUACGUCUGUAUUUGCAAAAAUGUACUGGGAAAAGAAAAUAUAUUCAGAUGUAUUAUCUUCAAGGGAAUCUCAAAAGUAUGAGAAAGCUCUGAGAUUACCUUGUUCUUGAAAUUUGUUUGCUCCACUACGGUAAUUGAUCAUUUUACUAAGCAAAGACUAAGGGACUUUAAAAAAUCUAAAGCAUGCCAAACCAGGACUUAAAGCGAAAGGUUUGCCUCUGACAUCACCCUUGUCACCUCCCUCUUCUCACCACCCUUCCAUUAAUCAGCCACCACUUCCAAGAAUUUUCCCUUGCACACAUAUCCUAUACUUCUCCCUCACACUCCAUCUCUACUUGAACAACCUGAUUCAUGGGCAUGUGCUAGGGGUUCAGGCACCAUCUUUCUGGUGUAUGGGCUGCAAAGCCCACAAAAAAACAAAAACAAACAAACAAACAAAAAUCAAAAAAACCUUCCAGACUCCCUUACAGGUAAAGUUUCAAAUGUGAUUUAGGUUCUGCCAAUUAGCUGCAUGGCCCAAAAUAACUUUCAGUGCACAACCUAGUUCUAAUUUUUUGGGAUGAUGACUUGAAUUAGAAAGCAUGUGAAGCAGGGAGUAAGUGGGACACCCAUUCUGCUGGUCAGAUCUGGCAGUAGAACUUGGUCCAGAGUGGCUAAGCUGUAAUCUUGGAGCCAGAGGUCACACGGAGACAGAAUCCCACUUCCCCAGCCUCUUCACUGUGA